UACGGAGGGGGCUAGCGUUGUUCGGAAUUACUGGGCGUAAAGCGCACGUAGGCGGAUAAGUCAGUCAGGGGUGAAAUCCCGGGGCUCAACCCAGGAACUGCCUUUGAAACUGUCUGGCUUGAGUUCGGGAGAGGGAAGCGGAAUUCCGGGUGUAGCGGUGAAAUGCGUAGAUAUCCGGAGGAACACCGGUGGCGAAGGCGGCUUCCUGGACCGACACUGACGCUGAGGCGCGAAAGCUAGGGGAGCAAACGGG
rnacentral:rRNA from 1 species